rnacentral:rRNA from 1 species
AGACCCGAAACCCGGUGAUCUAGCCAUGGGCAGGUUGAAGGUUGGGUAACACUAACUGGAGGACCGAACCGACUAAUGUUGAAAAAUUAGCGGAUGACCUGUGGCUGGGGGUGAAAGGCCAAUCAAACCGGGAGAUAGCUGGUUCUCCCCGAAAGCUAUUUAGGUAGCGCCUCGUGAAUUCAUCUCCGGGGGUAGAGCACUGUUUCGGCUAGGGGGCCAUCCCGGCUUACCAACCCGAUGCAAACUGCGAAUACCGGAGAAUGUUAUCACGGGAGACACACGGCGGGUGCUAACGUCCGUCGUGAAGAGGGAAACAACCCAGACCGCCAGCUAAGGUCCCAAAGUCAUGGUUAAGUGGGAAACGAUGUGGGAAGGCCCAGACAGCCAGGAUGUUGGCUUAGAAGCAGCCAUCAUUUAAAGAAAGCGUAAUAGCUCACUGGUCGAGUCGGCCUGCGCGGAAGAUGUAACGGGGCUAAACCAUGCACCGAAGCUGCGGCAGCGACGCUUAUGCGUUGUUGGGUAGGGGAGCGUUCUGUAAGCCUGUGAAGGUGGCCUGUGAGGGUUGCUGGAGGUAUCAGAAGUGCGAAUGCUGACAUAAGUAACGAUAAAGCGGGUGAAAAGCCCGCUCGCCGGAAGACCAAGGGUUCCUGUCCAACGUUAAUCGGGGCAGGGUGAGUCGACCCCUAAGGCGAGGCCGAAAGGCGUAGUCGAUGGGAAACAGGUUAAUAUUCCUGUACUUGGUGUUACUGCGAAGGGGGGACGGAGAAGGCUAUGUUGGCCGGGCGACGGUUGUCCCGGUUUAAGCGUGUAGGUGUGUGUUCCAGGUAAAUCCGGUUCACUUUAACACUGAGGCGUGAUGACGAGGCACUACGGUGCUGAAGCAACAAAUGCCCUGCUUCCAGGAAAAGCCUCUAAGCAUCAGGUAACAUCAAAUCGUACCCCAAACCGACACAGGUGGUCAGGUAGAGAAUACCAAGGCGCUUGAGAGAACUCGGGUGAAGGAACUAGGCAAAAUGGUGCCGUAACUUCGGGAGAAGGCACGCUGACACGUAGGUGAAGUGAUUUACUCA